GCCAAUUGGAGGUUAUACAUUGGCCCUUUGACUAUUAUACAUUCACCCUUUGAUUAUUAUAGAGCACAUGAUUCUAUUUUGACCCCGCCAUAGGGUGUAGUGUGGUAGUUAGGCUCCGCCAUAGCGUAUAAGUAUGAUACUUCAUUCGAUCACAAGAUAUGUGUGGUAUUCAGGCCCUAUCACAGUGCAUAAGUGUGGUACUUGGGGCCGACCAUAGGAUAUA
rnacentral:lncRNA from 1 species